AUAUGCCUAGGUGGGAUUAGCUAGUUGGUGAGGUAAGGGCUCACCAAGGCGACGAUCCCUAGCUGGUCUGAGAGGAUGAUCAGCCACACUGGAACUGAGACACGGUCCAGACUCCUACGGGAGGCAGCAGUGGGGAAUAUUGCACAAUGGGCGCAAGCCUGAUGCAGCCAUGCCGCGUGUGUGAAGAAGGCCUUCGGGUUGUAAAGCACUUUCAGUCGUGAGGAAGGUAGUGUAGUUAAUAGCUGCAUUAUUUGACGUUAGCGACAGAAGAAGCACCGGCUAACUCCGUGCCAGCAGCCGCGGUAAUACGGAGGGUGCGAGCGUUAAUCGGAAUUACUGGGCGUAAAGCGCAUGCAGGUGGUUUGUUAAGUCAGAUGUGAAAGCCCGGGGCUCAACCUCGGAAUUGCAUUUGAAACUGGCAGACUAGAGUACUGUAGAGGGGGGUAGAAUUUCAGGUGUAGCGGUGAAAUGCGUAGAGAUCUGAAGGAAUACCGGUGGCGAAGGCGGCCCCCUGGACAGAUACUGACACUCAGAUGCGAAAGCGUGGGGAGCAAACAGGAUUAGAUACCCUGGUAGUCCACGCCGUAAACGAUGUCUACUUGGAGGUUGUGGCCUUGAGCCGUGGCUUUCGGAGCUAACGCGUUAAGUAGACCGCCUGGGGAGUACGGUCGCAAGAUUAAAACUCAAAUGAAUUGACGGGGGCCCGCACAAGCGGUGGAGCAUGUGGUUUAAUUCGAUGCAACGCGAAGAACCUUACCUACUCUUGACAUCCAGAGAACUUUCCAGAGAUGGAUUGGUGCCUUCGGGAACUCUGAGACAGGUGCUGCAUGGCUGUCGUCAGCUCG
rnacentral:rRNA from 1 species